UACAGAGGGUGCAAGCGUUGUUCGGAAAUUAUUGGGCGUAAAGGGCGCGAUAGGCGGUGCGGUAAGUCCGCAGUGAAAUCUCUGGGCUCCAACUCAGAGUCUGCUGUGGAAACUGCCGUGCUUGAGUGUGGGAGAGGGUGAGUGGAAUUCCCGGUGUAGCGGUGAAAUGACGUAGAUAUCGGGAGGAACACCUGUGGCGAAAGCG
rnacentral:rRNA from 1 species